UCCCUGUUGCCAGGGCAGUCUGUCUAGAGAAAUCCAACUAGACAUAGGGGUUGCGCUCGUUGAUGGACUUAACCAAACAUCUCACGACACGAGCUGACGACGGCCAUGCAUCACCUGUCACUGCAUUCCCGAAGGCACAGUCUCCUUUCGGAGACCUUCGCAGGAUGUCAAGUCUGGGUAAGGUUCUUCGCUUAUCAUCGAAUUAAACAACACGCUCCACCGCUUGUGCGGGUUCCCGUCAAUUCCUUUAUGUUUUAAGCUUGCGCUCGUACUCCACAGGCGGGAUGCUUAACGCGUUAGCUUCGCCACGUCCGGGAUCGAUACCGGGCACGGCUAGCAUCCAUAGUUUACGGCGUGGACUAC
rnacentral:misc_RNA from 1 species